CCUACGGGCGGCAGCAGUGAGGAAUAUUGGUCAAUGGGCGCGAGCCUGAACCAGCCAAGUCGCGUGAGGGAAGACGGUCCUAUGGAUUGUAAACCUCUUUUGUCGGGGAGCAAAAGACGCCACGCGUGGCGUUCCGAGAGGACCCGAAGAAAAAGCAUCGGCUAACGCCGUGCCAGCAGCAGCGGUAAUACGGUGGAUGCGAGCGUUAUCCGGAUUUAUGGGGGUUAACGGGUGCCCAGGCGGAAGAUCAUGUCAGCGGUAAAAUUGAGAGGCUCAACCUCUUCGAGCCGUUGAAACUGGUUGUCUUGAGUGGGCGAGAAGUAUGCGGAAUGCGUGGUGUAGCGGUGAAAUGCAUAGAUAUCACGCAGAACUCCGAUUGCGAAGGCAGCAUACCGGCGCUCAACUGACGCUCAUGCACGAAAGUGUGGGUAUCGAACAGGAUUAGAUACCCCUGUAGUC
rnacentral:rRNA from 1 species